rnacentral:rRNA from 1 species
UACGGAGGGUGCGAGCGUUGUCCGGAAUCACUGGGCGUAAAGGGCGCGUAGGUGGCGCGACAAGUCAACGGUGAAAGCCCGGGGCUCAACCCCGGGUCGGCCGUCGAUACUGUUGGGCUUGAGCACUGUAGAGGCAGGUGGAAUUCCGGGUGUAGCGGUGGAAUGCGUAGAGAUCCGGAAGAACACCGGUGGCGAAGGCGGCCUGCUGGGCAGUAGCUGACACUGAUGCGCGACAGCGUGGGGAGCAAACAGG